GCUCUGGUGGUGUAAGGCGUAGCUCUGCUGCCCGGAAAGCAGAAGAUGUGGGUUCGAAUCCCGCCUGGCGAA
rnacentral:tRNA from 1 species